CCAAAGGGGAAGAAGCCUCUAGGAAGGAAGGGCCCAGAGAUGUUGCAGCCGGAAGAUACGCUACCCUUAGGGCUAAGGGGACACCAGGAGUCCAUAAGGGUACUUAGGGAAUUAGCUGGAAUCAUAGCGGAGUCGCUGGCACAACUGUUUGAGAACUUGUGGCACUCAGGACAGGUCCCAGAGGAUUGGAAAAGGAAUUGAAACUUCAAGGAGUGUUUCUUUGUUGCACAUUUCAUGUUGUAUAAUUUAUUUUUAAAACAUUUCUGUGGAGGUCAAAUACAUCACUGGACAGAGCAAAUAAGUUUCCCUAAGCUAUGAAAGAGGUAGAAUAUUUCUGGCAUUAGGAUCAAGAACUGGAGUAGAAUACUUUAUCCUAGAAUCCCAGCUGUGAUGACUGAAGAGUGAGGCUUCUGACUUAUGACAAACACUUUGUAUUUUUAGACUUCCCUGCAGACUUGCUGAGUUGCCUCUAGUCAGUAUUUUGUCAUGUGAUGCUAUUGAGCUUGUGUGACACAAGACAAUGAAGCCAAUAUCCAGUAGACAUUGUGUUAAAAGGUCAUGGUGUCUCAAGUCAUCAAUUCUUCCACAUUUAUUCAUGUGAUUUUGAUUCAUUCUAACUAAGUGAGUUUUAGCUAUCAGAAAUUCAGUUGCUGUCAUUGGCUCCAGCAGCAUUGCUACCUAUAUCAAGCUCCUCUGAUCAAAAGUGUUUGUGUAUAGAGCAGGGGAUUAACUGGAAGGUAAAAUUGUAAAAUAAGGUAAAAAGUUUAGCAGUACAGGUAAAAUAAGUGUGGCAUUGCUUUGCUGACUUAUCCCUUAAUUAUAUCUUCAGUUUAAUAUGACCUAAAUAAGUGAUUGCAGACUUCACAACAACAAAAAGGCUUCUAACACCAUCUAUUGGGACUUUUUGGGACUCCUCUUGCCCCUUAUGCUGGAUACAAUGCAUGCAGCAUUCAUUCUGGGGUCUGUCUUGCACAUAGUGCCUGUUCCAGCUGGUUCGUGAUCUGCUGUACAUGUGGUGCCCCCUGUUCCACCUCCCAUCUGGUCCAGGACAGUGCCUCAUGUAGCACCCAUGCCAGCUGAUCCAGACUUGGCCAGGGUGGGCACCAUGUGUGGCAUGGGUUCCAGAGAAACCAAAGCAGGUGAUGUAUGUGGUGUGCCUCCUGGGACCCUAUGCACAGAGCUAAAUCAACUCAGACCCAGGGCAGCACUGGGAGUUGGAUGAUGGGGCUCCAUGGGUAGGAUCCAGCUUGUGGGCUGUAUCUUUGAAACCCCUAUUGCCUGUACUAGUCUUGCUACUUUCUUUACAAAUCAGGAAACUUCACUUUUACUUUUUUAGGGAUACAGCAGUCAUUUUAAGUGUUUGGUGUGGGGUUUGUUUGGUUUGUUUUUUUUUAACUCCUAUUUCAAUUUGCCUGUUUUGAGUCACCCUAUCCAUAAAAUAAUUUAUCGUCCCUGCAAUGUCUUAUUUUUCUUAUCUUGGUAUUGGGGGAAGAGAAAACAAAGUUUUCUCCAAAAAAAUAAUAAUCAUAAAGAUAAAGAAAGAGUGGUGUGCUAGAUUUUCCACUCAUGUUCUUACAGUCUCUUGUCAAAGACACUACUGAAAAUAGCUGUUUCCAAAAUUACCUCUUUCAGUUUAAUCACAAAUAUGUUGACAUUUAUUGUCUUUUCUUAAUAUCAGGUCCUGGAGUCAGGUGAUUGCAUGAUAAUCUCCAUUUACAUGUCAAUUAAACUUAAUUUUUGCAUAUAAAAGUGAGUUUUUAGACUUCUGUAUUCAAAAUGUCUUAACAUCAAAGCAUAAUCCCUGACGUAUUCACCUCUGGAUUGGCAAAACAACUGAACAUUUAAAAAUAAAGUUUAAUUUUAGAGGGUCUGAUUGACAGUUUUUGUAUGUUGGAGGUUGGCGAUAUUGAAAGUAUAAAGCCGUACAGUGAUAUUGUAGAGAGCUGUGAUAACCAGUGCCAGGGGAGAGACUGGAAAAGGAGGCGACAAUAGGUAUUUUAGGAAAACAGGCUGAUGAAUAUAAUGCAUUUUCACAUGGGGAGGAAAGGAAUAGGAAACUCUGGACUGGUGACCUUCCAGUUAAUCCCCUGCUCUGUCAGACAAGGAACAAGGUUCACUCUAGUUCCUGAACAGAGAAGCCUAUAUAGACAUAACAUUUAAUCAUCUGAAGGGUGGGGUGGAAUUGUCUUAGAUAAACCAUUCUACAGGGAUCCCAUUAGGAGCUGGAUUAUUAGCUCUGAAGAGAGACCCAUGCAGUCCUGGUCAUCUGAAGGACAACAAAAGGGAAGCUAAGGUUCUCCUUCCCUGGAGCAUCAAGAUGGUCUUUAAAGACUGUUUGCAUUCUCUUUGUAGCAAGAGCAUGGCUUUUGUAGCAGAGUCCUAUACUGAAAAAUCAGGCAGUUUCAAAAGUUAAGAGCCUGAAGAUGACUGUACCAGAAAAUGAAAACGUGUUGCUUCAUAAAAUUAAUA